rnacentral:rRNA from 1 species
UACGGAGGGGGCUAGCGUUGUUCGGAAUUACUGGGCGUAAAGCGCGCGUAGGCGGCUUUGUAAGUUAGAGGUGAAAUCCCGGAGCUCAACUCCGGAACUGCCUUUGAAACUGCAGUGCUAGAAUUCUGGAGAGGCGAGUGGAAUUCCGAGUGUAGAGGUGAAAUUCGUAGAUAUUCGGAAGAACACCAGUGGCGAAGGCGACUCGCUGGACAGAUAUUGACGCUGAGGUGCGAAAGCGUGGGGAGCAAACAGG